GCGUCGGUGGUGCAAUGGUUGAACACACACUCCCAGAAAGAUUGAGAUCUGAGUUCGAAUCCCAGCUCACACA